CCAAGUUUGUGUAUCCCGGUCCACUCUACCUUUCCAUCAGGCAGUACAUGUGGAAAUGGAAAAGUAGCUCUCUAAUUAAUCAAAGUCAGAUCUGCCUGAGCGCCUGGAGUUGCUGCUGAUCCUUGUCCCAGCUUCUCCCAUGUUCUCUCUCUAUGUUUUUACCUUGAAAACUUCUGCUCUGAGCUGGGAAUGCCUGAAGGGCUUGCACGAUUACAAGUAUUGCAAAAAUGAAUGCUAAUUAUAAGUACGCUCUCCAUGGAACAAACAGAUGGAAGCUGGCAGAGAAACCCUCUUCUCAUCAGCAGCCAGGAAGAAGAAACCUUCCACCAAACGGUAUAACACAGAUCUACUUACAAACAGAGAACAGUCUAUCUCCAUCUGCUUUGGAAUCACCCUCCAGGUUGUUGAAGGCUGCUAUCAUAUCCUCUCUUGGUCUUUUCUUCUCCAGACUAAAAAAGCAAAACAAUUGCCACUACAAGAAAGAAGAUCUACAUCCAUUGAAACAUAAAACAUGAGUACUGGAUAGGAAGGACCACAAAACACACGUAAUAUUUUUUCAUGCAUGAAAUCUAUGUUAAAGAAAAAAUGUAUAAUGUUUGCCUUUGAUGGACUUUCUAUUGUCCUUCACCAUCUGAAUUUUCUCAUUUGUGAUAAUGAGUAUGGCUGAGCAUGUGGGAAGAGUUAGAUCAAGUGACACAAAAAUUCAAGCCUGAACUUUGACCCCGCUCCAAACUCCUCCAUGAUAUGCUAUUCUGCUAAGCAUAUAGGAAAAACAUAGGAAAAACAGGUCUUUUUUUUUAACAUCAUUUCUCUCCCAUUCAGGAAACUACAGAAAGAGUCAAUUUUACCAUUUUUGCUUUAUAUCAAAAUGUUUUCACAGUUCUGUCUGUUUACUGUACCUGGGCAGAAUAAAAUGAUAGUAGUUGUUGUUCA